UGAGAAUUUAAAGGCACAGGCCCCUACUUCCUAGGCUGGAGGUGAACAGAGCAAGGUGGCUACCCUCUGGAAACCCUGCAAGUUGGCUGCUGAGGUCGGAAGGGCCAUGGCGGGUGGGGUGUGCUCAUCCUCCUAGCCUAGGUCCCAACUGGAAGCCUGCAGGAGACCACUGUUUGUCCCCGCCCUCACGCCAGAGAGCCUGGCAAGCCCUUGCUCCUGGGAGGAGCGUAAACACACCUGCAAGACAGGUGGUGGUUCAGAGGACUCUGGGUUUGGUUCAGGAGGGAGCUUGCUCAAGGUCACCUGGUGAACUGGGGCGGUCGAACUUCGACUGUGGAACUGGAGGAGCGGUAGUGACGAAGGAAAGGUGACUGCUGAACUCCUUCUUGGAAGGACAGUCCGUGAUGCCAAACUGAAAGGGAGACGUGCCCGGGAAGCAGAGAGAAGAGCAGGUGC